rnacentral:tRNA from 1 species
UCCCUGGUGGCUUAUCAGGUUACAGAUCAAGCCUUGUCACUGCUGUGGUUCAGGUUCAAUUCCUGGCCUGGGAA